UACGUAGGGCGCAAGCGUUAUCCGGAAUUAUUGGGCGUAAAGAGCUCGUAGGCGGUUUGUCGCGUCUGCUGUGAAAGACCGGGGCUCAACUCCGGUUCUGCAGUGGGUACGGGCAGACUAGAGUGCAGUAGGGGAGACUGGAAUUCCUGGUGUAGCGGUGAAAUGCGCAGAUAUCGGGAGGAACACCUGAGGCGAAGGCGGGCUACUGGGCCGAUACUGACGCUGAUGCGCGAAAGCCAGGGGAGCAAACGGG
rnacentral:rRNA from 1 species